rnacentral:rRNA from 1 species
UAUUGGACAAUGGGGGCAACCCUGAUCCAGCCAUGCCGCGUGUGUGAAGAAGGUCUUCGGAUUGUAAAGCACUUUACGUUGGGAGGAAGGGCAGUAAGUUAAUACCUUGCUGAUUUGACGUUACCGACAGGAUAAGCACAGGCUAACUACGUGCCAGCAGCCGCGGUAAUACGAAGGGUGCAAGCGUUAAUCGGAAUUACUGGGCGUACAGCACGCGUAGGUGGUUCCGUAAGAUGUGUGUGAAAUCCCCGGGCUUAACCUGGGAACUGCUUUCAUAACUGCUUGGCUAGAGUACGGUAGAGGGUAGUGGAAUUUCCUGUGUAGCGGUGAAAUGCGUAGCUAUAGGAAGGAACACCAGUGGCGAAGGCGACUACCUGGACUGAUACUGACACUGAGGUGCGAAAGCGUGGGGAGCAAAC